rnacentral:rRNA from 1 species
UACGGGGGGAGCAAGCGUUGUUCGGAUUUACUGGGCGUAAAGGGCGCGUAGGCGGCCACCGCAAGUCGACUGUGAAAUCUCCGGGCUUAACCCGGAAAGGUCAGCCGAUACUGCGGGGCUAGAGUGCAGAAGGGGCAACUGGAAUUCUCGGUGUAGCGGUGAAAUGCGUAGAGAUCGGGAGGAACACCGGUGGCGAAGGCGGGUCUCUGGGCAAUUCCUGACGCUGAGGCGCGAAAGCGUGGGGAGCAAACGGG